rnacentral:rRNA from 1 species
GGGGAAUUUUCCGCAAUGGGCGAAAGCCUGACGCAGCAAUACCGUGUGCGGGAAGACGCUCCGUGGAGUGUAAACCGCUGUCGGAUGGGAAGAAUAAAGUGACGGUACCUAAUCUAAGCAUCGGCUAACUCCGUGCCAGCAGCCGCGGUAAUACGGAGGAUGCAAGCGUUAUCCGGAAUCAUUGGGCGUAAAGAGUCUGUAGGUGGCACUUCAAGUCUGCUGUCAAAGACCGAAGCUCAACUUCGGGAAGGCGGUGGAAACUGAAGAGCUAGAGAUAAGCAGGGGUAGGGGGAAUUCCCAGUGUAGCGGUGAAAUGCGUAGAUAUUGGGAAGAACACCAGUGGCGAAGGCGCUCUACUGGGCUUAGACUGACACUGAGAGACGAAAGCUAGGG